CAGGAAGUACAGAGAAUCAGAGCUCUGUACCUGGAUUAAAUACAAGAUAUUCUGAUAGUGACAGACCGAGUGUCGGGCCCCUCUCCCGCUGCUGAGGGGACCGGCUGUACAGUCGCAGGGGCCACCGGGGAAUUCAAUUGGCAGCUGUAAAAAAUGAGCCUCAAAUCAAGAUCCGAGAGAGAGACAAGUAACGCGGUGAGAAAAACAACCAGGAAACAGAUUGUGUGAUAAAUACACGGACAAAUGGCUCCAUCCAACCCCCCCCCCCCCCCGGCUUUAAUGGGGGCCAAAUAAUUUCAUUUCAUUGGAAACUCAACUCACCUACAGUAGCACAGGUACCGAGCCCACCAAUCAGAAUGCAGAGAUUCAUCACAUGGGCUGGGACUUCACUU